rnacentral:rRNA from 1 species
UACGGGGGGGGGCAAGCGUUGUUCGGAAUUACUGGGCGUAAAGGGCGCGUAGGCGGCCUGCUAAGUCACACGUGAAAUCCCUCGGCUCAACCGGGGAACUGCGUGUGAUACUGGCGGGCUUGAAUUCGGGAGAGGGAUGUGGAAUUCCAGGUGUAGCGGUGAAAUGCGUAGAUAUCUGGAGGAACACCGGUGGCGAAGGCGGCAUCCUGGACCGAGAUUGACGCUGAGGCGCGAAAAGCUAGGGGAGCAAACGGGG